GAUGAACGCUGGCGGCGCGCCUAAUACAUGCAAGUCGAGCGAACGGACGAGAAGCUUGCUUUUCUGAUGUUAGCGGCGGACGGGUGAGUAACACGUGGAUAACCUACCUAUAAGACUGGGAUAACUUCGGGAAACCGGAGCUAAUACCGGAUAAUAUUUUGAACCGCAUGGUUCAAAAGUGAAAGACGGUCUUGCUGUCACUUAUAGAUGGAUCCGCGCUGCAUUGGCUAGUUGGUAAGGUAACGGCUUACCAAGGCAACGAUGCAUAGCCGACCUGAGAGGGUGAUCGGCCACACUGGAACUGAGACACGGUCCAGACUCCUACGGGAGGCAGCAGUAGGGAAUCUUCCGCAAUGGGCGAAAGCCUGACGGAGCAACGCCGCGUGAGUGAUGAAGGUCUUCGGAUCGUAAAACUCUGUUAUUAGGGAAGAACAUAUGUGUAAGUAACUGUGCACAUCUUGACGGUACCUAAUCAGAAAGCCACGGCUAACUACGUG
rnacentral:rRNA from 1 species